rnacentral:SRP_RNA from 1 species
GCUGGGCACAGUGGCCUGUGCCUCUAGUCCCAGCUACUUAGGAGGCGAGGCAGGAAGAUCACUUGGGUCCAAGAGUUCUGGGCUAUAGUGCACUAUGCUAAUCAGAGGUCUGUACUAAGUUCGGCAUCAAUGUGGUGACCUCUCUGGAGUGGGGGACCACCAGGUUGCUUAAGGAGGGGUGAACUGCCCAGGUUGGAAAUGGAGCAGGUCAAAACUCCAUGCUGAUCAGUUGUGGGAUCAUGCCUAUGAAUAGCCACUGCACUCCAGCCUGGGCAAAAUAACAAGACCCCAUCUCA